UAGGUUAUGUACUUUGUCUUAAGCAUGAGAUGAUGUGUCAUUCGUUUGUGUAACAGUUAGUUCUCUAACGGUUUUCAAACUCAGAAUAUAGAUUAGGUGUUCAAAUCUAUUUUUUAAGAAAACUCUCCGACUUAGCCUUCCUGAUCAGCACCUGCUAGACUUUAACCUCCGCUCUGAUACCAUUUGUCACACCCGUCUCCUUCAACGUUGAGACGGCGUGCUUUCUCCUUACUUAUAUCUUUCCUCUAUUCCACUUUCUUAAUUCAAAUAACAAAUUGUCUUAAAAAUAAUCUUAAAUCAUUGAAAACUCUUUAAUAAAUCGUAUAAGAAAAUAACAAUAGUAGAAAAUAAACCCGAGGUUCCCAAAAUACACUGUAAGCGAGACGGACUUGCGCGACUACACACGAUUUUCACUGUGACCUGGGGAAAAAGGGGAAAAAGGGGGUGAGUAAAGAAUUACUCAUUGAGAGGAUCCUUUCCGCCCACUGAAAAUACGAUACACGAUUCUACCUUUAAACUAUAAUCAACAAUCACAUAGAAACAGACACAACACUCAUAUAGUUUGCAUCACUAUGCAAGACUAUAUCACACAUCUCAUUCUUGCUUAAGCAAGAUCUCCUCAUCAAUACCAGGUUUGAUCAUUUCUUUGACCUUUGAACCUAUCUAGUUCCACUGGACUCGUAAGUCUUUUAUUGAGCUACAAAGAACCCGUCAAUUCAAUGUAGACCAUUUUCCACUGUUCCAAUAUUCCAUUUUUCCACUGUUCCACUUUUCGUAAUCUCAAAAGAUGGUGAUUCCACUUUCUCAUAUAACACAUAUAAUUACUUGUUAUUGAUAUGGUUCAAAUUACCUAGAACAACUCUCUCAAAUAAGAGAUCAAUUGCAGUAUUUUAGGAUUGAAUUCACGGAGUUCUUUUGUUUAAACAAUGAGUUAAAUAUCGAGAUUAAGCUAGCAGGGUAGUAGUGAAAAUAAAAGAGAACAAAGUAAAAAGCUAGCAGAUUGAUUGUGUUGUAAACAAUUUAUUAAAGAGCUAGGAACAGGGUAUUCUCAGGAAACUAUUGGUUAGUAGAUCUAAUGAAAGCUAGGUUGUUAUCGAACCAAUCUUAAACUCAAACUCUAAUUAUGGAAUAACCGGUGGGCGUGCCGCGAAACUCCCUAUAUCUAUAGCUAAUAAUAACUGGAGAAGCCGAGAAACUAUCAACCUAAAUAUGCAUUUUUAACGAGUUCAAUUGUUCAUCUUAGUAAAUAGGCCGAUUCUUAUUACACACCUAUAAACCAGACUCAUCAAAUAAUAAAUAUAACUACAGAUACCUAUGGCGGGCAUAUUUAUUGUCUGGAUUCAAGAUCUAGUUAAUUACUCUAGAUCUAGCAUUAAGCAUAAUUAAAGAUGAAGAAUUCUACAACCUAGCAAAGGGGGCAAUCUACCAAACCAUAUGAAUCCCUAAUGAGAAACCCUAUUCCUAACAAGCAGACUACUCAAACAUAUUGAAUGAAGCAAACAACAUAAUUGAGAUAGAAAGCAUAAACACAGUAAAUAGAGAAGGGGAAAGAAGGGAUCUCUUCACUGUAUUAAAAACUGGAAUGAAUCUCUCAAGAACAAUGGAUGAAUAGCUUAUGUCUCUCAUAAUAGGGUUUUGCAAAAGCUUGAUAAAAGAUUUGAUAAACGAAACUUAGGUCUAAAAAAAAUAUAUAUAGAUCCUAAAAACGUCCAGGGAUUAAUAAUGCAAAUAGGGAAGUCUUCUGUGGCAAACUUGAGCUUCUGUAAACUCAAAAGCGUCUAGGGCUUUUGCUGGGCCGAAACUGGUGUCGAUUGACACCAAGAGAGUGUCGAUCGACACUCCUCGCUGAUUCAUUAACCAAAAUU
rnacentral:sRNA from 1 species